UACGAAGGGGGCUAGCGUUGUUCGGAAUCACUGGGCGUAAAGCGUACGUAGGCGGAUCGUUAAGUCAGGGGUGAAAGCCUGGAGCUCAACUCCAGAACUGCCUUUGAUACUGGCGAUCUUGAGACCGGGAGAGGUGAGUGGAACUGCUAGUGUAGAGGUGAAAUUCGUAGAUAUUAGCAAGAACACCAGUGGCGAAGGCGGCUCACUGGCCCGGUACUGACGCUGAGGUACGAAAGCGUGGGGAGCAAACAGG
rnacentral:rRNA from 1 species